GACGUAGGGGGCGAGCGUUGUCCGGAAUUACUGGGCGUAAAGAGCACGUAGGCGGGAACCUAAGUCAGGUGUGAAAGACCGUGGCUCAACCACGGGGUGGCAUUUGAAACUGGGUUUCUUGAGGGCAGGAGAGGAAAGCAGAAUUCCUGGUGUAGCGGUGAAAUGCGUAGAAAUCAGGAGGAAUACCAGUGGCGAAGGCGGCUUUCUGGACUGACCCUGACGCUGAGGUGCGAAAGCGUGGGUAGCAAACAGGAUUAGAUACCCCUGUAGUCUCUGA
rnacentral:rRNA from 1 species